UGGAGACAAGGAGAGAUCUUCUCUGCAGAUUCUGGAAGGGAAUGGACCAGCCCACAGUGAAGACUGGAGACAGCACGAAGGGGAGGUUUGCAGCGAUGACCCCAGGAGUGUCGUGUCUGUGGGAUCCAGUUCUGGAGUGGACCAGGAAAUAAGUUAAAGCACCAAGAACCUGCUCAAGGAACUGAAGAAGCAGGAGCACAUCUGGUUGAGACUCCGGUGGAAGAGCACGUAGCCAGACAUUCAAGUGAUCACAGCUGAGAUUGUGGAGUCGAUGGCGUGAUGGAAGGGUCAUUUAUAUGAGAUAGACCAUCAGCAAGAUGAACCUUCAAACGAUCGUCCAGAGAGAACCCAAACCAGCAGCUGGCGACAUCCAGGACCGCGGAAUCAAUUUCAACAGCUUCGACUUGUGAGCCCAGGAA